GGCGGACGGGUUAGUAACGCGUGGGAACGUGCCCAGAUCUAAGGAAUAGCCACUGGAAACGGUGAGUAAUACCUUAUACGCCCUUCGGGGGAAAGAUUUAUCGGAUUUGGAUCGGCCCGCGUUAGAUUAGAUAGUUGGUGGGGUAAUGGCCUACCAAGUCUACGAUCUAUAGCUGGUUUUAGAGGAUGAUCAGCAACACUGGGACUGAGACACGGCCCAGACUCCUACGGGAGGCAGCAGUGGGGAAUCUUGGACAAUGGGCGCAAGCCUGAUCCAGCCAUGCCGCGUGAGUGAUGAAGGCCUUAGGGUCGUAAAGCUCUUUCGCCAGAGAUGAUAAUGACAGUAUCUGGUAAAGAAACCCCGGCUAACUCCGUGCCAGCAGCCGCGGUAAUACGGAGGGGGUUAGCGUUGUUCGGAAUUACUGGGCGUAAAGCGCGCGUAGGCGGACUAUUAAGUCAGGGGUGAAAUCCCGGGGCUCAACCCCGGAACUGCCUUUGAUACUGGUAGUCUAGAGUUCGAGAGAGGUGAGUGGAAUUCCGAGUGUAGAGGUGAAAUUCGUAGAUAUUCGGAGGAACACCAGUGGCGAAGGCGGCUCACUGG
rnacentral:rRNA from 1 species